UCAAGAAACUUCCACAAUGGGCGAAAGCCUGAUGGAGCGACGUCGCGUGAUGGACGAAGUGCUUCGGCACGUAAACAUCUUUUAUGUGGGAUGAAAUUAUUGACAGUACCACAUGAAUAAGGGGCUCCUAACUCUGUGCCAGCAGGAGCGGUAAUACAGAGGCCCCAAGCGUUAUCCGGAAUCACUGGGCGUAAAGGGUGUCGAGGCGGUUGUAUUAGUCGUUCGUAAAAUCUACGAGCUUAACUUGUAGGCGGCGAACGAAACGGUACGACUUGAGGUUUGGAGAGGUGCGUGGAACUCACGGUGUAGGGUGAAAUCCGUUGAUAUCGUGGGGAACACCAAAGGCGAAGGCAGUGCACUGGUACAUUCCUGACUCUGAGAUGCGAAAGCGUGGGGAGCAAAAAGGAUUAGAUACCCGCGUAGUCCCUGAGCGGGCUGGCAAGGCGCAU
rnacentral:rRNA from 1 species